rnacentral:lncRNA from 1 species
GUUGCUUCCCGUCCGUGUCGCGGCCCUGCGGUUGGCGGCCUCCUCGUGGAGCGGAGCAAGGGUAGGCCCCACGUGGCGUCUUUGCCCGGCUCCAAGAUGGACGGCAGCGGGGACUGGGAGGCUGCUCUGGGGGAGCACGUGGCGCCCUGCUCGCCUGCUCCCGGGGCAGCUGGGAUGGUGGCGGAGUCCGGAGGCCUCCUGCCGCCGUCGGGCAGGGAGGCCGGCGGAGGCGGGGCCGUGGCCGCCCCCGAGAGGCGCCCAGGCGGCGGCGGCGGCGGCCCAGCUUCUUCUUUCCUCGCACAGCCAGGCGGCCCCUGCUCGAGUCCCGCGUCGCCAUGGCCGCGGUUCCCGAGUUGCUGCAGCAGCAGGAGGAGGACCGCAGCAAGCUGAGAUCUGUAUCUGUGGACCUGAAUGUUGAUCCCUCGCUUCAGAUUGACAUACCUGAUGCGCUCAGUGAGAGAGACAAAGUCAAAUUUACAGUGCACACAAAGACCACACUGCCCACGUUUCAGAGCCCAGAGUUUUCUGUUACAAGGCAACAUGAAGACUUUGUGUGGCUACAUGACACUCUUAUUGAAACAACAGACUAUGCUGGGCUUAUUGAGUGGAGUGGUUGUCUCCUGUGGACCAGCAAGAGUAGAAUGAGGCACCAACUAGAAAACAUCGCUGCUGGGACAAGAGGCUCAUGAGUUCCUG